rnacentral:rRNA from 1 species
AGGGCGUUCGGUGGAUGCCUUGGUACCAGGAGCCGAUGAAGGACGUGGUAGGCCGCGAUAGUCCUCGGGGAGUUGUCAAACGAGCUGUGAUCCGAGGGUGUCCGAAUGGGGAAACCCAGCACGAGUGAUGUCGUGUUACCACCAGCUGAAUGUAUAGGCUGUGUGGGGGGAACGUGGGGAAGUGAAACAUCUCAGUACCCAUAGGAAGAGAAAACAAUUGUGAUUCCGUGAGUAGUGGCGAGCGAAAGCGGAUGAGGCUAAACCAUGCGCAUGUGAUACCGGGUAGGGGUUGUGUGUGUGGGGUUGUGGGGUUCGUCUUCUUCCAUCUGCCUGUGGAAGCGUGAGUCAGAAAAUCGUGUGUUAGGUGAAGUGGCCUGGAAUGGUCUGCCGUAGUCGGUGAGAGUCCGGUAGCUGAAAACACAUGGUCUUGCGUGACGGUGUCCCCAAGUAGCAGCGGGCUCGUGGAAUCUGCUGUGAAUCUGCCGGGACCACCCGGUAAGCCUGAAUACUUCCUGGUGACCGAUAGCGGACUAGUACCGUGAGGGAAAGGUGAAAAGUACCCCGGGAGGGGAGUGAAAUAGUACCUGAAACCGGACGCUUACNNNNNNNNNNNNNNNNNNNNNNNNNNNNNNNNAUAGCGGACUAGUACCGUGAGGGAAAGGUGAAAAGUACCCCGGGAGGGGAGUGAAAUAGUACCUGAAACCGGACGCUUACAAUCCGUCAAAGCCUGUGCACCCUUGUGGUNGCUUACAAUCCGUCAAAGCCUGCGCGUAGUUUACUGCGGUGGGUGAUGGCGUGCCUUUUGAAGAAUGAGCCUGCGAGUUAGUGCUCGGUGGCGAGGUUAACCCGUGUGGGGUAGCCGUAGCGAAAGCGAGUCUGAAUAGGGCGUUUGAGUCGCCGGGUCUAGACCCGAAGCGGAGUGAUCUACCCAUGGCCAGGGUGAAGCGUCGGUAAGACGUCGUGGAGGCCCGAACCCACUUCAGUUGAAAAUGGAGGGGAUGAGUUGUGGGUAGGGGUGAAAGGCCAAUCAAACUCCGUGAUAGCUGGUUCUCCCCGAAAUGCAUUUAGGUGCAGCGUCACAUGUUUCUUACUGGAGGUAGAGCUACUGGAUGGCCGAUGGGCCCCACAGGGUUACUGACGUCAGCCAAACUCCGAAUGCCGGUAAGUGAGAGUGUGGCAGUGAGACUGCGGGCGAUAAGGUUCGUAGUCGAGAGGGAAACAGCCCAGAUCGCCGGCUAAGGCCCCUAAGCGUGUACUAAGUGGAAAAGGAUGUGGGGUCGCGAAGACAACCAGGAGGUUGGCUUAGAAGCAGCCACCCUUGAAAGAGUGCGUAAUAGCUCACUGGUCAAGUGAUCCUGCGCCGACAAUGUAGCGGGGCUCAAGUACACCGCCGAAGCCGCGGCACUCACAUUUUGCCCGUCGGAGCCUUACGGGGUUCCGNCCGAAGCCGCGGCACUCACAUAAGCCCGCCUUCUGCCUACGGGUGGUUGGCCAGGUGUGUGGGUGGGUAGGGGAGCGUCCUGCAUCCGUGGAAGCUACAGAGUGAUCUAGUGGUGGAGGGUGUGGGAGUGAGAAUGCAGGCAUGAGUAGCGAAAGCAGAGUGAGAAACUCUGCCGCCGAAUGACCAAGGGUUCCUGGGCCAGGCUAAUCCGCCCAGGGUGAGUCGGGACCUAAGGCGAGGCCGACAGGCGUAGUCGAUGGACAACGGGUUGAUAUUCCCGUACCCGUGUAUCCGCGCCCAUGCUGAAUCAGUUGUACUAACCAUCCUGAUCCUCACGAGAGUGCCUUCGGGUGCCGAGUUGGGGUGAUGCAUGGGACCUUGGCUGGUAGUAGGCAAGCGAUGGGGUGACGCAGGAAGGUAGUGGGGCCAGUCAGUGGUUGUACUGGUGUAAGCCUGUAGGGCGAGCGAUAGGCAAAUCCGUCGUUCAUGAAGCCUGAGAGGUGAUGCGUAGCCGUUGCGGUGAAUUCCAUGAUCCUAUGCUGCCGAGAAAAGCCUCUAGUGAGUUGGUACACGGCCCGUACCCCAAACCAACACAGGUGGUCAGGUAGAGAAUACUAAGGCGAUCGAGAGAACUGUGGUUAAGGAACUCGGCAAAAUGCCCCCGUAACUUCGGGAGAAGGGGGACCCAUCCUGGUGACGGCAUUUACUGCCUGAGCUGGUGUGGGUCGCAGAGACCAGAGAGAAGCGACUGUUUACUAAAAACACAGGUCCGUGCGAAGUCGUAAGACGAUGUAUACGGACUGACGCCUGCCCGGUGCUGGAAGGUUAAGAGGACCGGUUAGUCACCUUGGUGGCGAAGCUGAGAAUUUAAGCCCCAGUAAACGGCGGUGGUAACUAUAACCAUCCUAAGGUAGCGAAAUUCCUUGUCGGGUAAGUUCCGACCUGCACGAAUGGCGUAACGACUUCUCUGCUGUCUCAACCACAGACUCGGCGAAAUUGCAGUACGAGUAAAGAUGCUCGUUACGCGCGGCAGGACGAAAAGACCCCGGGACCUUCACUAUAGCUUGGUAUUGGUGUUCGGUUCGGUUUGUGUAGGAUAGGUGGGAGACUGUGAAGUGGGCACGCCAGUGUUCAUGGAGUCGUUGUUGAAAUACCACUCUGAUCGUAUUGGACUUCUAACCUCGGACCCUGAUCGGGUUCAGGGACAGUGCCUGGUGGGUAGUUUAACUGGGGCGGUUGCCUCCUAAAAGGUAACGGAGGCGCCCAAAGGUUCCCUCAGCCUGGUUGGCAAUCAGGUGUUGAGUGUAAGUGCACAAGGGAGCUUGACUGUGAGACGUACAUGUCGAGCAGGGACGAAAGUCGGGACUAGUGAUCCGGCACCGGCAAGUGGAAGCGGUGUCGCUCAACGGAUAAAAGGUACCCCGGGGAUAACAGGCUGAUCUUCCCCAAGAGUCCAUAUCGACGGGAUGGUUUGGCACCUCGAUGUCGGCUCGUCGCAUCCUGGGGCUGGAGUAGGUCCCAAGGGUUGGGCUGUUCGCCCAUUAAAGCGGCACGCGAGCUGGGUUUAGAACGUCGUGAGACAGUUCGGUCUCUAUCCGCCGCGCGCGUAAGAAACUUGAGGAAACCUGUCCCUAGUACGAGAGGACCGGGACGGACGAACCUCUGGUGUGCCAGUUGUCCCGCCAGGGGCACUGCUGGUUAGCUACGUUCGGAAGGGAUAACCGCUGAAAGCAUCUAAGCGGGAAGCCUGUUCCAAGAUGAGGUUUCUCACCCCCUUUU